rnacentral:rRNA from 1 species
GUGUCAGCAGCCGCGGUAAUACGUAGGGUGCAAGCGUUAAUCGGAAUUACUGGGCGUAAAGCGUGCGCAGGCGGUUAUGUAAGACAGAUGUGAAAUCCCCGGGCUCAACCUGGGACCUGCAUUUGUGACUGCAUAGCUAGAGUGCGGCAGAGGGGGAUGGAAUUCCGCGUGUAGCAGUGAAAUGCGUAGAUAUGCGGAGGAACACCGAUGGCGAAGGCAAUCCCCUGGGCCUGCACUGACGCUCAUGCACGAAAGCGUGGGGAGCAAACAGGAUUAGAUACCCGGGUAGUCC